rnacentral:lncRNA from 1 species
CAAAAUAUAUUCCUUUCAGCAGUCCAUUCAAACCCUGGGCCCGGGAUCUUCUUUGUGGCAAGGAUCCUUGGUUUCAGCCUGGGACUUUGCUUCCUCCUUUUUCUCCUUCUGAUGAUGCAUCAAUGCCAAAAGAAAUCAAAAUGCCAAGAAGAAGAAGAUCUGGGAAAUGAGAAACUUCUGUAAGAGGAAGAGGAGCCAGCCUGUGUCCAGGUUGCUGAGUUCAGAGAGUCUAGGAUCUCACUGGAAGAGAAAUCCCCAUGCCUGUACUGAAACAAGCUAUACUACGGUCCAGGCUAGAAGUUCAGAGACUGCCAUAGUGGUACUAGGAUAGGACCAUGGCACAUUGUGUUCCCCUUUUACAUAAGUUCUCCAAUAAUAAACACGUUGGUCCUACUC